rfam:Schistosoma haematobium scaffold1339_1, whole genome shotgun sequence.
AUUCAGUAGACGAGUCCUAAAUAGGACAAAACACGCUUCCUGAAU